rnacentral:pre_miRNA from 1 species
GCUAUACUCCCUUCGUCCCAUAAUUCUUGUCUUAAAUUUUCUCAAAUAUGGAUGUGCCUAUUCUUAAAACCGUCCAGAUACAUGUAAUAUUUCGACAAGAAUUAAGGGACGGAGGGAGUAGUUU